CGCCGCGGUAAUACCGGCACCCCAAGUGGUCGUCGCUUUUUAUUGGGCCUAAAACGUCCGUAGCCUGUUUGGUAAACCCGUGGGUAAAUCAACAUGCUCAACAUGUUGACUUCUGCGGAGACUGCCAGACUAGGGACCGGGAGAGGUGUGGGGUACUCAUGGGGUAGGGGUAAAAUCCUGUCAUCCCAUGAGGACCACCUGUUGCGAAGGUGCCACACUGGAACGGAUCCGACGGUCAGGGACGAAGCCUAGGGGCACGAACCGGAUUAGAUACCCGGGUAGUCCUAGGUGUAAACGCUGUGGACUUGGUGUUGGGGAUCCGACAUGGGUCUCCAGUGCCGCAGCGAAGGUGUUAAGUCCACUGCCUGGGGAGUACGGUCGCAAGGCUGAAACUUAAAGGAAUUGGCGGGGGAGCACUGCAACGGGAGGAGCGUGCGGUUUAAUUGGACUCAACGCCGGGA
rnacentral:rRNA from 1 species